UACGGGGGGGGCAAGCGUUGUUCGGAUUUACUGGGCGUAAAGGGCUCGUAGGUUGCCGACUAAGUCAGACGUGAAAUCCCUCGGCUUAACCGGGGAACUGCGUCUGAUACUGGAUGGCUUGAGUUCGGGAGAGGGAUGCGGAAUUCCAGGUGUAGCGGUGAAAUGCGUAGAUAUCUGGAGGAACACCGGUGGCGAAGGCGGCAUCCUGGACCGACACUGACACUGAGGAGCGAAAGCGUGGGGAGCAAACAGG
rnacentral:rRNA from 1 species